rnacentral:sRNA from 1 species
GCCAGGAGCACUGGCACGCUCCUGUAAUCCCAGUGACUUGGGAGGCUGAGGCAGGAGGGUUGCAAGUUCAAAGCCAGUCUCAU